rnacentral:rRNA from 2 species
UGCUGGAGGUAUCAGAAGUGCGAAUGCUGACAUAAGUAACGAUAAAGCGGGUGAAAAGCCCGCUCGCCGGAAGACCAAGGGUUCCUGUCCAACGUUAAUCGGGGCAGGGUGAGUCGACCCCUAAGGCGAGGCCGAAAGGCGUAGUCGAUGGGAAACGGGUUAAUAUUCCCGUACUUGGUGUUACUGCGAAGGGGGGACGGAGAAGGCUAUGUUGGCCGGGCGACGGUUGUCCCGGUUUAAGCGUGUAGGUGUGUGUUCCAGGUAAAUCCGGUUCACUUUAACACUGAGGCGUGAUGACGAGGCACCACGGUGCUGAAGCAACAAAUGCCCUGCUUCCAGGAAAAGCCUCUAAGCCUCAGGUAACAUCAAAUCGUACCCCAAACCGACACAGGUGGUCAGGUAGAGAAUACCAAGGCGCUUGAGAGAACUCGGGUGAAGGAACUAGGCAAAAUGGUGCCGUAACUUCGGGAGAAGGCACGCUGACACGUAGGUGAAGUGGUUUACCCAUGGAGCUGAAGUCAGUCGAAGAUACCAGCUGGCUGCAACUGUUUAUUAAAAACACAGCACUGUGCAAACACGAAAGUGGACGUAUACGGUGUGACGCCUGCCCGGUGCCGGAAGGUUAAUUGAUGGGGUCAGCGCAAGCGAAGCUCCUGAUCGAAGCCCCGGUAAACGGCGGCCGUAACUAUAACGGUCCUAAGGUAGCGAAAUUCCUUGUCGGGUAAGUUCCGACCUGCACGAAUGGCGUAAUGAUGGCCAGGCUGUCUCCACCCGGGACUCAGUGAAAUUGAACUCGCUGUGAAGAUGCAGUGUACCCGCGGCAAGACGGAAAGACCCCGUGAACCUUUACUAUAGCUUGACACUGAACACUGGUCCUUGAUGUGCAGGAUAGGUGGGAGGCUUUGAAGUGUGGACGCCAGUCUGCAUGGAGCCAUCCUUGAAAUACCACCCUUUAAUGGCUGGUGUUCUAACGUGGGCCCGUGAACCGGGUUGCGGACAGUGUCUGGUGGGUAGUUUGACUGGGGCGGUCUCCUCCUAAAGAGUAACGGAGGAGCACGAAGGUUGGCUAAUCCUGGUCGGACAUCAGGAGGUUAGUGCAAUGGCAUAAGCCAGCUUGACUGCGAGCGUGACGGCGCGAGCAGGUGCGAAAGCAGGUCAUAGUGAUCCGGUGGUUCUGAAUGGAAGGGCCAUCGCUCAACGGAUAAAAGGUACUCCGGGGAUAACAGGCUGAUACCGCCCAAGAGUUCAUAUCGACGGCGGUGUUUGGCACCUCGAUGUCGGCUCAUCACAUCCUGGGGCUGAAGUAGGUCCCAAGGGUAUGGCUGUUCGCCAUUUAAAGUGGUACGCGAGCUGGGUUUAGAACGUCGUGAGACAGUUCGGUCCCUAUCUGCCGUGGGCGCUGGAAGAUUGAGGGGGGCUGCUCCUAGUACGAGAGGACCGGAGUGGACGCAUCACUGGUGUUCGGGUUGUCAUGCCAAUGGCACUGCCCGGUAGCUACAUGCGGAAGAGAUAAGUGCUGAAAGCAUCUAAGCACGAAACUUGCCCCGAGAUGAAUCUUCCCUGAGCCUUUAAGGCUCCUGAAGGAACGUUGA